GUCGCCUUGUCGAGUCAUCGCCAGAGAAGAGCAGAGAGCAGACGGAGCCGCCGUCCGAUGGCUUGAAAGCGGAGAAUAACUGUGGACCACAGCGGAUUUAUUGCACCACACAAGCCGAGGAGGGAGCACAAACUGCGGUCACGGCAGCGGGCUGGAUGUCGCUGCGGAUGUGGAUAUUGCAUUUUUAGACUGUGGAGGCUGUUGCGUUUAUUUUUUUGGUUUCACGGUUGCAGACCCGGACACAGACAACACAGAGACAGACGAGAGAAGUACCAGAGCCGCCGCGACACCAGCGAGCGAACUUGGCUUCUCUGCCCUGUGGGAGGUGUCAGUCUGUCGGCUGUGGCUCGCUGCACAUACCGCUUACCGCGUCGUUGCUCGGACCUUAUUAUUAUUAUUUUUUAAAGGAUAAGGUUGUUGCUAAGUUAUGUUUUUGUAAAUAACGUCUUAUAUUUCUUUUUUUUUUUUUGAGGAGGGGGUGUUUCGGCAACCAACUGUGGCUUUAAUGUGACGCACUGACGUUGUACUAACAUUUUGCGCUGUGUCGGAGCGGACCCCCACUGCAGAGGAGUUAAAAGGCUGUUAAAUCAAGUUUUUACCUUCAGAUUCCUACUGUACCCCUACAGCCCACACCGAUGCAAUAGUGACAAGGGACGGAGCAGAUCAAGGUUGGCCAGGCUAGGCCAGGCUAGGCCUACCUAGCCUUCUGUCUGGCCUUACCAGAAGGGCCAGCAACCUCUCCAGGGAAUCCUAUCUUCAACAAGCAGUGGCAGCCUGUUCUUUCACAAACCUGCAAGUCAAGCUGUAAAGGAUUGGAUUCCAAUUACAUUAUCCGCCUUUGGGAGGCCAUACUGGUCUGUUAGAUCACCAGUCCUUCCAUGUCGUGGUCAUCCCUCUCUGGAUGUUGGCAUCAGGAUGGAUUCUGGUGUUAAUUUGACGGUUGUCACCUCAUUGCACUGCUUGCACCCCCCCUCCUUUGACUGCCUUUCGUCCCUUCCCUCCCAAAUUUUUAGGCGAAAGCCCCUUCCUCUCUCUUGGGGCUUCCCUGAGCCCUGUACAGAAGGGCCUUGUAGGAACUGUAGGUUGUGUUGUUGAAACAGUUGCAAAGAGGAAGUAGAGUUAAUAAACCCUUGCUAAAAAAGACACAAUGAAAAUUGCUGCACUCAAUUGAUUUGAUUGAUUUAUUUUCUGUAACCCCUCCUCUUGUUUAUCCACGAGUUUGAUUGGAGAUUGGAGAGCUUUUUAUUUAAAAAAAGAAGCUUGCUAGUCGAAGUCAUUACUUUAAACAUAGGUUGGUCUGAUUACUCACAUGAAAUAGGUCCUUAUUUAUAUGUAAAGAAUUUCUCUUUUGUGGUCUGAGCCUCAGGGAGGAAUGUCUGAAAGCGAUAGCAGCAGCAAAGCAGUGAAAUUCAUUGCCCCGGCCCCCCCCCCUCCCUCUGCCUCCCUCUGUCCAUCACCCCAGACCCCCC